AAACAUUAAACUUUAAACCUAUUCAUCUUACAUAUGAAGUUCAGUCCUAACAGAGACACAUAAUCAUUAAACAUCCUUCAGAAACCAUGGCUAUAAGAUUCAAGAUCUAUUUAACUUAACCGGCAUUAAAAGUACAAUAUUGACACCCUUUUCAAUUUUAGCCAUAUACAAAUUUUA